GCCAUUAUCACAAUUUCAUUCUGAUAUUUUUUUCUCAGAGAAAUGCCUCCCAGAAAGCGUAGGAAGUGUACUUCGGUCACUGUGAAAAAUCAUGCAGAAAAAGCUCAUGCUACAUCAGCAACCCCUGCUGCUUGUUCAGAAAGCGACACUGCUUCCCCACUGCCACAGGCAUGCCCUCCUUCCUCCAGCACAGUCGCUGUGUCACUUCAGCAUCCACCUGUAUCACUGGCUGUGCCUCGCCCAGCUGUAAUACCCGACAGCAUGGCUACACCACAAGUAUUUGCUGAAGUCGAGAGCCUUCUCCCUCUUUCUUUCAACAAGAGAAAGAAAAGGAGAAGCCUGCGAUUUAGGUGUGGGCAUCGGCAAGUUGGCAGUAAGGAUGAUUCCUUUUGACAGGAUCGCAGUUUUGGAGGGCUCGAUCACAACCAAAGAUGUUGCCAUUGGAAAGCUUCAUGAAUUUAAGUAUGUUUCUUUACUGUUUUACACUAGUGAUGAAAAACGCAGGUGUACUGUAACCAAAACGUUAAAUUACAUCAAAUCUGUAACAAAAAAUACACUAUGAAUAUGAAAUAUAGAAAAAGUAAAAUCAGACCAAAAUAUUUCCUAUGUACAAAACAAUAAAGUUAGAAAGAGGGGUCAACCAGAGAAAGAUAUGAUUGCAAUCAAAUGUGCAAAAUUGUAAAAAUAAAGUCAACAGAAGACUUAAUUAAACUAUAUAUUUUACCUCUCCAGUUUUUUAUGCAUGGCACUCAUUUUGUGGAAGCACAAUUAUAUCAUAUUAAAUAUAGAAGGCAGGAUUUGCACUCUGCCUUUACCCGCUAUGCCACUUGUGAGCCACAAAUUAUUAUUUUUAAAGUGUAAAGGUACACAUUAAAACUUCUAAAUAGACUUGCAGAUUUUCUCAGGGUGAUUUUUUCCGCUGGGCAUCUCAAUAUUUUUUUGUUUUUAUUUACAUACCAUUACAAGAUAAAAUGUUAGGAGCUAAAAACAAUCCUCAUUAAAUAUUGGGUAAAAGCAGCUUACAUAAAACCACAUGCCUGGUUUAUUGAGUAUUGCAGUACUAAUUGUAUUAUUCA